CUGUUGGCGCAGUGGCAGUAUCAUAGCCCAUGAGGUUAAACUGAGGCGUGAUUAUUGCUAGUUGAAAACUUUUCCAAACUUUA
rnacentral:snRNA from 1 species